AUAAAACGUGCCUUUGUGUAUGAUUCAACAAGUAGUAGAACAAGCCAUAUGAGUCGAAGUUUAUCCAUUCCUUUUACCUUCGGGAUAAAAGCGAUAUCUAUGGACCCCUCGAUGAUUUAAUGAUGAUACAUGUGAGUGCUUAGCCAAGCUAGGACUGAUUUGAUUUGUUCAAUCAGUCAGUCAUCAUGAAUCGAAAAUCAGCAAACAACAAAUAGACAGAGAUAAUGAUUUAUAAUCCAUGUCUCAGUCCAUAUGAUAUCUACAAUGGAGGAAUAUAUGAUCCCUUAUCUAAUGGACAAGUCAUUGAAAAAUGUCAGAGUUCGACAGAAGCUUUUGAGAGCUACGAUUGCUAGUCGGGGUUUGAAGUCACACUCAAUAAUAGUUUUAGACUUAUCCAAGUGGGAGACUGUUAGACUAACAUCUAAGUCCAUAACUAUAAUUGGUAAGACUUGACCCGACCCGACAUGGUCCAUUUGGGUUGCAUGGCAUCGGGACAAUUGGAUAGACAAGAUGAGGAAAAAGGAUACUAGUGAUUUAUAUUAAUAUAUAUUUUAAGUUCUAAUAUAUUAAUAUAUAAUCAUAUUAUUUAAUUAGUAUUGAUCAAGAAUUAAUUUAUAAUUGAUUAAGUGAUCAAAAGGAACUAAUUAAAUAUGGACUCUAAGAUAUAUUUGUGUGAUGGGCCAAGUUUAUUUAGGUUUGGCUAAGCUUUCAUGGAUAGUCCAUGGAGUGUUUAAUCCAUGGAUCAUAUGAAAUGAAAGGUCAUGGGUAUUAGGGUUUAACCCUAAUCUCCACACUAUAUACAGAUAUCCUUGGUUGGUGAAACUGGCACUAGUGUGUGUACACAAAAGGGCAAGACCGAUUUCACUAGAGAGACCCAAAGGAUCCUUAUUCUCAAGGUUAUUCCAAGUGGUCAUGGUGUUGUGUGAACCAUUUGAGGUGUCACACUUGGGGCACUAGGCACUCAAGCUUCAUGAAGACAAGUUACAUAAAAAAAAGGUAUGUAUUCUAUCUAUUUUAUUACCCAAGUAUAUGAUAUUUGUAUGCUAGUAUAAGGUAAUAUCUUGGAAACUUCAUAUUUGCAUGUAUAAUAGAGAAAACAUAGAUCCAAGGUAUUUAGGGUUGUAUGUGCACCAUAGGAUGUUGUAGUAUACUAAAACCCAACAGCCAUGACUAUUGUUUCAAUUCAAGUAUUAAGUUGAUAAAUUGAAACAAUGAAUAAUGAGUAAUCAAUAUGGUGCUUAGAUAAAAGGGUUUUAUAUACACUCAAGAGUUUGAGACCAUAUAAGAUUAAGUAUUAUUCUUGUGUUUCACUUUGCAUGUUUUGACUUCCAGAAUAACUAGGUCAUUCUUCCCGAAUGACUAAGUUAUUCAAACUCUCCACAGCCAGUCAUACUUUGGAAGUAGGUAUUAAUUUAAGACUGUCAUGAAUUCGGCAUGUAUGAUUUGUUUAAUGUGCAUUAGACAUAGCAAUGGUUGCUACUACAUUCAUGAGUGCUCAUAAGUUUUGGGUAUUGGAUUCAACCCACGCUCAUUUGAAUCACUUCAUGGAUUUUAUCAUGAGUGAAUCAUGAGACGAUAAUAUCUUAUAUUCUUCAAACCUAGAUAUAUGAGUUGUUGACUACGAGUUUGUUAUACAUUGAUUGCAUGAAAAUGCAUUGGUAACUCGAUGUUAUAAAAUGUGCCUUUGUGUAUGAUUCAACAAGUAGUCAGUACAAGCAUAUGAGUCGAAGUUUUUCCGUUCCUUUUACCUUCGGGAUAAAAGUGAUAUCUGUGGGCCCCUCGAUGAUUUAAUGAUGACACCUAUGAGUGCUUGGCCAAGCCAGGACUGAUUUGAUUUGUUCAAUCAAUCAGUCGUUAUAAAUCAAAAAUCGGGAAACAACAAAUGGACAGAGAGAAUGAUUAUAAUCCAUGUCUCAGUCCAUAUGAUAUCUAGAAUGGAGGAAUAUAUGAUCCCUUAUCUAAUGGACAAGUCAUUGACGAAGGUCAGAGUUCAUCGACAAGGUCAGAGUUCGACAGAAGCUUUUGAGAGCUACGAUUGCCGGUUGGUUCCUGAAGUCAUACGCAAUAAUAGUUUUAGACUUAUCCAAGUGGGAGAC
rnacentral:lncRNA from 1 species